rnacentral:rRNA from 1 species
AUGUUAGCCUACAUGUCCACCGCCGUUCACGAGAAAGGACAACAUCCACCAGCCCUGCCCUCACCCCACAAGGCAACGAGCCGUCCACGAGCGGAGCUCCCCCAAAUUCCUCGUCCUCUGACAAUGACGGUUCCCACGACGCACCGCCGGCUCCUGGCCGCCGUGGUGGCCCUGCUCCUCGUCUUCGCCUCGUCCGGCGCCUUCGCCAUGGCGGGGAUGAGCGGGCCAAUCAAGACGGUGGUGGUGGUGGUGAUGGAGAACCGGUCAUUCGACCAUAUGCUGGGCUGGAUGAAGCGGCUGAACCCAGCGAUCGACGGCGUGACGGGCGCCGAGUGGAACCCGGCAAACACCUCGGACCCCUCGGAGGGGCGCGUCUACUUCGGCGAAGCAGCGCAGUUUGUCGACCCGGACCCGGGCCACUCGUACCCGGAGAUCCGGCAGCAGAUCUUCGGCUCCGACGACGCCACAGGCCCGCCACGGAUGAACGGGUUCGUGCAGCAGGCCCACUCCGUCGGCGGCAUCCACAUGACGGACGCCGUCAUGAACGGGUUCGCGCCCGACAGCGUCGCAGUGUACCGGGAGCUCGUGGCGCAGUUCGCCGUCUGCGACCGAUGGUUCGCAUCCGUGCCGUCGGCCACCAUGCCCAACCGUCUCUUCGUCCACUCCGGCACCUCCGCCGGUGCCACGAGCAACAACCCAGUGUCGCUGGCCAAGGGAUACCCGCAGAGGACGAUCUUCGACAACGUCCACGACGCCGGCCUCUCGUUCGGUGUCUACUUCCAGGACGUGCCAACGGUGCUCUUCUACCGCAAUCUGCGCAAGCUCAAGUACAUCCUCAACUUCCACCACUUCCACAACGCGUUCCGGGAGCACGCCCGCUGCGGCUCCCUCCCAAACUACGCCGUCGUCGAGCAGCGGUACAUGGACUCCAAGGAGCACCCAGCCAACGACGACCACCCCUCCCACGACGUCUACCAGGGCCAGAUGUUCGUCAAGGAAGUCUACGAGACGCUCCGCGCCAGCCCCCAGUGGAACGAGACGCUCAUGAUCCUCACCUACGACGAGCACGGCGGGUUCUUUGACCACGUGCCCACGCCGGUCGACGGCGUGCCUAGCCCCGACGAUAUCAUCGGGUCGCCGCCAUAUAACUUCGCGUUCAACAGACUGGGUGUGCGCGUCCUGGCCAUCAUGAUCUCCCCGUGGAUCGAGAAGGGAACAGUUGUCCACGGGCCGAACGGAAGUCCAACCCCAACAUCACAAUACGAGCAUUCAUCGAUCCCCGCGACCGUAAAGAAACUAUUCAACCUGACACAGGAUUUCCUAUCCAUCGUUCCAUUUGCAUAUGUAGAACAACUCCCGAUGCCGAAGAGGAUCCGGCAGAUGGAGGCGAAUGAGGAGGCAAAGCUAAGCUCGUUCCAGCAAGAGAUCGUGCAGCUGGCUGCGGUGCUGAAUGGGCACCACCGGCUAAGCAGCCUGCAGGAAAGGAUCAAGGAGAGAAUGAACGUGAGGGAAGGAACCUCCUACAUGAGGAGCGCCAUGAGGCGGUUCUUCGAGGCCAGCAUGUCGGCCAAGAAGAUGGGUGUCACUGACAGUGAGCACAUCAUCAAGAUGAGGCCCUCCCUCACCACAAGGACCUCCUCCUCCGCCCAAGAUGAUCGUGUGUAG